AUUGAACGCUGGCGGCAGGCUUAACACAUGCAAGUCGAGCGGGGUGAUGGUGCUUGCACUAUCACUUAGCGGCGGACGGGUGAGUAAUGCUUAGGAAUCUGCCUAUUAGUGGGGGACAACAUCUCGAAAGGGACGCUAAUACCGCAUACGUCCUACGGGAGAAAGCAGGGGAUCACUUGUGACCUUGCGCUAAUAGAUGAGCCUAAGUCGGAUUAGCUAGUUGGUGGGGUAAAGGCCUACCAAGGCGACGAUCUGUAGCGGGUCUGAGAGGAUGAUCCGCCACACGGGGACGGAGACACGGCCCAGACUCCUACGGGAGGCAGCAGUGGGGAAUAUUGGACAAUGGGGGGAACCCUGAUCCAGCCAUGCCGCAUGUGUGAAGAAGGCCUUAUGGUUGUAAAGCACUUUAAGCGAGGAGGAGGCUCUUUUGGUUAAUACCCAAGGUGAGUGGACGUUACUCGCAGAAUAAGCACCGGCUAACUCUGUGCCAGCCGCCGCCGUAA
rnacentral:rRNA from 1 species